GAUGAACGCUGGCGGCGUGCCUAAUACAUGCAAGUCGAGCGAAUGGAUUAAGAGCUUGCUCUUAUGAAGUUAGCGGCGGACGGGUGAGUAACACGUGGGUAACCUGCCCAUAAGACUGGGAUAACUCCGGGAAACCGGGGCUAAUACCGGAUAACAUUUUGAACCGCAGGGUUCGAAAUUGAGAGGCGGCCUCGGCCGCCACUUAUGGAUGGACCCGCGUCGCAUUAGCUAGUUGGUGAGGUAACGGCUCACCAAGGCAACGAUGCGUAGCCGAACUGAGAGGGUGAUCGGCCACACUGGGACUGAGACACGGCCCAGACUCCUACGGGAGGCAGCAGUAGGGAAUCUUCCGCAAUGGACGAAAGUCUGACGGAGCAACGCCGCGUGAGUGAUGAAGGCUUUCGGGUCGUAAAACUCUGUUGUUAGGGAAGAACAAGUGCUAGUUGAAUAAGCUGGCACCUUGACGGUACCUAACCAGAAAGCCACGGCUAACUACGUGCCAGCCGCCGCAGUAA
rnacentral:rRNA from 1 species